AUGUGGAAUGACCCUGACACAUUCCGGCCAUCGAGGUUCAUGCCCAAUGGGGAGGCCAUCGGCCUGGAUCUCAAGGGUGGUUGCUACGAGUUCUUGUCAUUCGGUUUUGGAAGGCGCUCAUGCCCAGGGCAGGGGCUUAGCCAGCAUACAGUGGAGUUUGCUGUAGCACAGCUCGUGCACGGGUUCAACUGGAAGCUACCCGGUGACAUGAAGCCGAUGGAGCUUGACAUGACCGAAACGAUCGGUGCCACUGUGUCACGCGCCACACGGCUUUGGGCGGUGCCCACACCCCGCCUCACCUGUCCUUUGUAA
rnacentral:rRNA from 1 species